rnacentral:rRNA from 1 species
GACAGCAGUAGCCACGGGAAUACGGAGGGUGCAAGCGUUAAUCGGAAUUACUGGGCGUAAAGCGCACGCAGGCGGUCUGACAAGUCAGAUGUGAAAUCCCCGGGCUUAACCUGGGAACUGCAUUUGAAACUGUCAGGCUGGAGUCUUGUAGAGGGGGGUGGAAUUCCAGGUGUAGCGGUGAAAUGCGUAGAGAUCUGGAGGAAUACCGGUGGCGAAGGCGGCCCCCUGGACAAAGACUGACGCUCAGGUGCGAAAGCGUGGGGAGCAAACAGGAUUAGAUACCCGAGUAGUCCCUGUCUCUUAUAC